rnacentral:lncRNA from 1 species
UCUGUUCUAGCAUGUCAAUCUGGUAUAUAGGGAAAAACCUAUAUUACCAGCAACAUCUGAAUCUGAUUUUGGUUCUCAUUGCCUUUAAUUAAUGUUCAAGAUUAAGUGGCCCCGAAAGAAUAUCAAAAAUUUCAAGCCCAUGAGAGAGUAAAUAUGAAAGAUACAAGACCUAGCAGGAAUGGGCUAGCUCCUUCUGAUUGGAUGUUUGAAGAUGCAUUGAUUCUUG